ACAACAAGGUUGCAUCAUUGUCAUUCCAUCUCUUCUUUCACUUCGGCUCUUUUGGUCAUUGCAACACCAGCGUGCGCCGUCUUCACACUGCUCCAAAUCUGCCCAUGUUUCCAUCCGGCUCCAAAUACGCCCAUUUUUUCUCUAAUUCAGUCAUGUCGUAACAAAUUUGUACUUUCAGCCUCAGAAUUUCAUUGUUUGGAAUGAGGAGGGAUUUCAGAGUUCACUUCUCAAAAAGAGAACGCAACACAUAUUGAUACAGAUUAGUGAUGAACAAAAAAUUGCUUCCAUAGAUGUAAAUUACUUCUGUAUGAAAAUAUAUUUUGUUUCAAAUGUUGAUACUCCUUGCUUUUGGAACUUAGUUUCCUUCAUAUGGUUUUUUCACUUCCUUUUUUUGGAUGGUAACUGUUUCGGGUCAAAUUACUUCUAUGGCAACUAAAUAUUGUUUCCAUAUGGUUAAAUUUUGUUUGUUUGGACUGACCAUAGAAAAUGAUUCCUUGAAUUGGCAAUCGCUUCAAUGUAGUACUCCCUCCGUCCCGCAAUAAGUGACUCAAAAAUGACUCAACUUUGUACUCCUUACUUCAAUUGGAGUAUAUGUUUUCUUUUCUCAUAGGAAAGGAGAGUGCUUUAAUUUUUUACAGAACAAAAUUGAGAUUGAUUUAUUCCUUAGUUAAAAUUGGUGCCAUGAAUAUGUUUCAUGGAAUCUGAGAAUUGUUCCAAACGUAUCGAUAAAGUACUUCCAAUGAAGUAAAAAUUGGCAGUCUGAGGAUUUUGCAUUGAACCUCUUUUAAAAUGGUGAUGAAAGACCACACAUGUUGAAGAUAAGUUUCGCCUUAAUCUAACUGAGAAACAACUGUUUUUCAUACCAGACAAGCAACUACUCCUCUCUGACUCAAUGUGCCACACCAUUCACUCACCAAUGUAAUCCAUACACAUGUUCAAUACCUUUUGAAUUUUAUGCUCCCGCUUCUCCAUGUGUCAACCCCUCUGUUCCUUGUUGACCCUAGCUUGUCUUGAUUCAACAUCAAGCAACAACAAAAUAUUACACCUGAUACGACAUCAAGCUAUACAGGAACUAUUAGACCACCCAAAUUAUUGAAGCUUCAGAAUUUGUGUCUGGGUCCAUGCCUAAUAAACUGGAAGAAAACCAAAAGAUACUUAUUGAUAUGAAUCAACUUGGUUAAGUAUGGUCAAAUACAAUGCACGGUGGAAUAUCUACCCUGGAAAACAAAAGAAAAGGAGAUGGAAGAAAUCAUGUACUCAAUGGGUGGUUGUAAGUUCACGGGUAUCAAGACUUGGCUCACAUAUCAUUGAUCAUGGGUCUGUGUCAAUAUGGCUCCGGUGCCCAGUUUAUCACGGUGUUUUGUUAUUAUUUCCGAGAUAGUACUUUCUAUUAUAGUGUUGAGAUAAGCAAUUUAGAUGUUUUAAAUAUUCCCAGCUCUUUGGAUAAGAAGUAUUUCAGUAACUGAAUAAUCUUUGACCGUCCAAAAGAACUACGAUGUUUCUUUGGGAAUAACAGCAGAACAAAAAAUCCGAGAAUCAUGGCUGACCUAUGAGGCACAGAUGUUGUCGAGGACCUAGCUGGCAAACCAGUGCCAGAAGACGACCUUGAACCAUGCCUCCUCUCCUUUGCGCAACCUUGAAACCACGAGUAAUUACCUGGCAUUAUUUCAUUAUCUCAGCUGGUUUUAUGACUUCAAACAUAUGAGAGUACUCUAACAUGUAAAAUAAUUCUUUCUCAGGUUCCAAAUAAGUCAACAGUAGGUCAAAAAUAGAGGUGAAACAUUGCCAGGCAGGCAGACACACAACAACAGCCGAUGAUUAUAGCUUAAGGUCCAAUGAGGAUAAUAUAAGUAGUGGAAAACGGAAUUUUGUAUCCACAUCCCUAUUGAUCAAGGAGUAAGUCAACAUGAUACAAGAAACGUACAACAACACCCGAGACAAUAUAAUUACAACACUGCAGAAAAAUUAGAGAUCCAUGUAAUCAAAUAUCUCUUUGUUAAAUUUUAGCUGAACAACUUAACUUAUAGAGUGUCGAUGGUUCAGAUCUUUUUCCUUUUAAUUAACAUGUGAGUUAUUAUGAAGUGGGUAAUUUCUUUUUGCGGUAUAUAAAGUGGGUAAUUCAUAUAGACUAAGACAUGGAAAAAGGGUGUAGGUGGUGCAAAUUCAUAGCAAGUUUUAUAUUGGAUGCACACAAACAACUGUGUGGACACACAAAAAGAAAACAAUCACUUUGAAAGUUUGAAUAGAAAUGUCUAAAUGAACAUCAGAUGGUCUAGUGUCUCCACUGAAAGCACUACAUUGACCCCUCAUUAACAAUUUAGCAAUGAACAAACAAUUCUAGUAUUUAGACAUGAGAAUACCUUGUACAGAAUUUCAAAGCCAUAAAAAACGUUACCACUGGUUUGGGUAUCCUGGAAAUAAAACAGAGGUAAUAAAUUCCUUAUAACUAAUCAGGUGAACAUAGAAAAUUGAUUACCUCUGGUUUGAUCCCAUGUGCUCUAGCCAAAAAUAGAUCAAAUCGGCAGGAUAUCCUAUAAGGAAACAAAUCUAGCAAGGAAACUGAUUAUUAUUAUAUCUAAUUUCCAGCUACCAGUGGUAGGCGCAAAGUGGAACACUAUUACGUAGGACAACAAAUUUGGGCAGGAGGAAGUAUAAUGGUUAUGAAUGCCAGGCAAAGUGUAUUAAGUUCAUAACUAUGAGCAUGCAAAUAAUUUAUAUGAAGGGUCCCUUUUCUUCUGCAUAAGUCAGACAUACUGUAUGUAUGUGUAAUGUGUCCAACUGUACACAAAUACAAAAUAUAUAUUACAACAGAAAAUGCGUGAAUAUGAUGAUGAAUAUCUUAUUCUGAACUCUUUUGCAUCUUGUAUAAUGGACAGGGAUUGAGAUUCUAAUUUCGGCACUACUGGAGAGUAUGUUGUGUGCAAAACGAAACUACAUGCAGUAAUCUACAUGAUUGUUCGUACGAACAGAGAAACAAUUUUGCAUUUAGUAGAUGUGUGUAUGUUUCAGGGUUACUUUCACAAUAUUUAGUUGGUAUAGAAAAAACACUUAAGGCUAGCAAAUAGAAUUAACCUAGUACAUAGAAAGUAGAGAACUGACCGCUGCAGUAAAUUAUGAACUGAUAUCACACAUAAAAUAGUAACAUAC
rnacentral:lncRNA from 1 species